rnacentral:rRNA from 1 species
GAUGAACGCUGGCGGCGUGCCUAAUACAUGCAAGUCGAGCGAACGGACGAGAAGCUUGCUUCUCUGAUGUUAGCGGCGGACGGGUGAGUAACACGUGGAUAACCUACCUAUAAGACUGGGAUAACUUCGGGAAACCGGAGCUAAUACCGGAUAAUAUUUUGAACCGCAUGGUUCAAUAGUGAAAGACGGUUUUGCUGUCACUUAUAGAUGGAUCCGCGCUGCAUUAGCUAGUUGGUAAGGUAACGGCUUACCAAGGCAACGAUGCAUAGCCGACCUGAGAGGGUGAUCGGCCACACUGGAACUGAGACACGGUCCAGACUCCUACGGGAGGCAGCAGUAGGGAAUCUUCCGCAAUGGGCGAAAGCCUGACGGAGCAACGCCGCGUGAGUGAUGAAGGUCUUCGGAUCGUAAAACUCUGUUAUUAGGGAAGAACAAAUGUGUAAGUAACUAUGCACAUCUUGACGGUACCUAAUCAGAAAGCCACGGCUAACUACGUG